GGUCGCGUAGUGUAGCUGGUCCAACACGUCACCCUGUCACGGUGAAGAUCGCCGGUUCGAAUCCGGUCGCGACCGCCA
rnacentral:tRNA from 2 species